GGACAAGCUUCACGGACACAGAGUCCUCAAGCAGGCCUGGCGCAGCAGUGGACGGCCACCUGCCUCCCAGCUCCGGCUGUCUGUCUACACCAAGUAAGCUGGGUCCUGAUCCUGGAGCUCUUGGAGGGACAGGGGAAGGACCGGUGGUGACGAGAAGCUGAAUCCCAGCCCAUGCACUGCUUGCCAAGCUGAGUGCCCCAGUGUCUGUGUGCAUUCACUUCAAGAUGUACUCCUCAAGACCCCAGGAGACCUGGCUGCUGCCCAGAAGUCCAGGCUCAGACUGAGCUCUCUGACGGCAAGGACUUGAUCUCUGGAGUAUCCUUGGUGCCUGGAACGUUACCCGGCCGUAUGUGGUGGGCAAUUGAUUAGAUAUCUGCAGAAUGAAAGAAUCAAGGCAGCCUUUCUCAACACUCAUAUUUGAUCAGAGAUUUACCUGGAUCCUCUCAUUUAUUUUAUUUAAUUCUACUUCAGCAAUCUUGGAUGAUUAUAAGUUUGUAUUAUUCUGAAGUUCAAUUGAUCUAAAUUUUUAUACUUCUGAGAUUCUGUAGAACUCCACAAAUCAUAAUAAGCAAAUGUUUGUUGAGAUAUUUCUGUGUCUUGGCUCAUAGGCUCCUAAGCAACCACGUUGUUGUGGCUGUUGAUUAGUCGCUAAGUCGUGUCUAACUCUUUGCGACCCCAUGGACUGUAGCCCACCAGGUCCUCUGUCAGUGGAAUGUCCCAGGCAAGAAGACUUGG